rnacentral:rRNA from 1 species
AUGGCAGUGGCGGCUGAGGGUGGGAGCGUGGAGGAGGGCGUGGGGGAGAGCUCUUCUCCUCCGCGUGAGGCGCCGCCCGCGCCCGCAGUGUCGGGCGGGAGCGGCGGAGGCGGGGGAGCCCCCCGCGACAUCUGCACCCAGGUGUUCGAGCGGCUCGUCGCCGACGGCAACGAGGAGGUGGCAGGCCCCGACUUCCGCGUCCAGCUCGAGGCCCAUUUCGCGCGGCUUCCAUUCAGCUAUCAACUUGAUAUCAAUGUCGACAAAUCAGCAGAUGUCUUGGUCCAUCAGAAGGUCUUGGCGGAAGCAAAGGAUCCUCUGAGGCGCCCUGCUUUCCGUGUCCGUUUUUUGAGGGUUGAAGACAUGGAUUCAGCAUAUGGCUCUGAUGCAUCUGAUGAAGGGGCUGAUGAUGGUGAUGAUCUCUCUGUAAGGCAGGACACACCGUACACACACAUUCAUGAGAUAGUUUUCUCCACAAUUGACAAGCCAAAGCUCCUUAGUCAGCUGUCUGCCUUGCUAUCAGACAUUGGGCUGAACAUCAGGGAAGCACAUGUUUUCUCUACCGUAGAUGGCUAUUCUCUUGAUGUUUUUGUUGUUGAUGGUUGGCCCAUUGAGGAUACUGAUGGUUUACAUAAGGCACUUGAAGCAUCUGUUUUAAGGAAUGAGGGUUCAUGGUCUGGUUCAUCUCACUCCUCAGCUGCGGAAAGAACACUGCCAUUCCAGGUAAAAGGUGGGGAAUGGGAAAUUGACAAGCGGCUUCUGAAGAUGGGAGAGAUGAUUGCUUCUGGUUCUUGUGGAGACUUGUUCCAUGGGACUUACUUUGGCGAGGAUGUUGCUGUUAAAGUUCUAAAAGCCGAGCAUUUGAAUAAUAAUGUUUGGAACGAGUUUACACAAGAAGUAUAUAUUCUAAGGGAAGUUCAUCAUACCAAUGUUGUGCGAUUCAUUGGUGCAUGCACAAAACCACCAAAAUUUUGCAUAAUUACAGAAUACAUGUCUGGAGGAAGUCUGUAUGAUUAUGUGCACAAGCAGCGUAAUGUCGUUGAUCUCCCAACUCUGCUGAAGUUUGCAUGUGAUAUAUGCCGAGGGAUGUGUUACUUGCAUCAGAGGGGCAUUAUCCACAGAGACUUAAAGACAGCAAACCUUCUAAUGGACAAAGAUCAUGUUGUUAAAGUAGCAGAUUUUGGUGUAGCUCGGUUCCAGGAUCAAGGUGGUAUCAUGACAGCUGAAACUGGAACAUACAGAUGGAUGGCGCCUGAGGUUAUAAAUCAUCAACCCUAUGAUAACAAAGCAGAUGUAUUUAGUUUCGCUAUUGUGCUUUGGGAACUCCUGACGUCCAAGAUCCCAUAUGAUACCAUGACACCUCUGCAAGCAGCUGUAGGUGUUAGGCAGGGGCUGCGCCCAGUGCUGCCAGAAAAGACACAUCCCAAGCUAUUAGACUUGCUGCAGAGAUGUUGGGAAACCAUCCCAUCAAAUCGGCCUGCUUUCUCAGAUAUAUUAACUGAACUAGAGGGUCUUCUGGCAGAAGUUCAGGUUACUUCAGGUGAAACGAGCAAACAACCGAAGGAUAUCUCGGCCUCGACAGACUGA